rfam:Chloroflexi bacterium RBG_16_56_8 RBG_16_scaffold_38691, whole genome shotgun sequence.
GCGACCGAUUCCAAGGUUGUGGAUGCCCAGGCGGGCCUUGAAAGCGGCGUCACUGCCAUGAUCGGUGCCUUGAGCGGCAUCAACAUGAUUUCAGGCUCGG